rnacentral:rRNA from 1 species
CCUACGGGGGGCUGCAGUUCGGAAUAUUCGGCAAUGGACGAAAGUCUGACCGAGCGACGCCGCGUGCGGGAUGAAGGCCUCUGGGUUGUAAACCGCUUUAGGGAGUGAGCGUUAAGCUCCUAAAUAAGCCCCCGCUAAUCACGUGCCAGCAGCGGCGGUAAUACGUGAGGGGCAAACGUUGUUCGGUGUCACUGGGCUUAAAGGGUGCGUAGGUGGUUGCGUAAGUAACGUGUGAAAUCCCCCGGCUUACCCGGGGAAUUGCGCGUUAUACUGCGUAACUUGAGGACUGUAGGGGAAUGGGGAACUCCAGGUGUAGCGGUGAAAUGCGCAGAUAUCUGGGGGAAGGCCGGCGGCGAAGGCGCCAUUCUGGCAUUCCUGACACUGAGGCACGAAAGCGUGGGGAGCAAACAGGAUUAGAUACCCUUGUAGUC